GCUAAAAAUGAGCCCCAGCGUAGUGGCAGCCGGCCCCCACGGUUAGCGUAUUUACUCCGAACACAAAAGAUCAAACAGAGGCAAGGCGAGCACAGCUUCAUUUUAUCAAGAGAGAACAGCGAGAGAGAGAGAGGAGAGAGAUGGAUCCAGACGCAGUUGCAAAGGCAUUUGUGGAGCACUACUACACGACAUUCGAUAUGGACAGAUCUGGUUUAAGUAAUUUGUAUCAGGACAACUCUAUGUUGACCUUUGAAGGUCAGAAGAUCCAGGGGAAUGCUAAUAUAGUAGCUAAGCUGGUUUCACUGCCGUUUACGCAGUGUAAACACACCAUUACUACUGUUGAUUGUCAGCCUUCUGGUCCUGCUGCUGGUAUGCUUGUGUUUGUUAGUGGUACUCUUCAACUUGCUGGUGAACAACACGGUCUCAAGUUCAGUCAGAUGUUCCAUUUGAUGCCUACGCCCCAAGGAAGUUUCUAUGUGUUCAAUGACAUAUUCCGCUUGAAUUAUGCUUGAAGUUUAGGGAUGUAUGUGAAUCCAACAAUUACAUUAUUUGUGUCCAGUAACUAAAGAAGUUAUCUGGAAGGUUAUAUACAUUUAGAUGUUCCAUUUGAUGCCUACGCCCCAAGGAAGUUUCUAUGUGUUCAAUGACAUAUUCCGCUUGAAUUAUGCUUGAAGUUUAGGGAUGUAUGUGAAUCCAACAAUUACAUUAUUUGUGUCCAGUAACUAAAGAAGUUAUCUGGAAGGUUAUAUACAUUUAGGUAUUGAGAGAUGCCGAAAGAUAUUCCUACUAAAAUGUUUUCUCCAUUUAUUAAAGCUAUUCUCGUCUUAUC